AGAUUGCUAUGCACGUGUACCGGGUAAUUUAACAAGGCUAUCGAGUUCAUCAACUUGAACUCAUCAUCCCAAGGAUCUCCCACAUAACAGGCAUAUUACAGUAAUCACAAUUGAUACACACAUUGGAGAUAGAGAGGAAGACUUUUACAAAAUACACUUUACAUUCUAGAACUCAAGUCUUACAACAUAAAAGGGAAUGAAAUUAUUACAAGUCCUGAUAGUCUUUAGAGUGCAUAACUUAACUACAAUACUUGGAAAGGUGAAGCCUUUCCAUAAAAGAUUCACAUAAGUAAUCUAAGCUUCAAGACCUCCAUAAGGAGCAACUAAUAAAGCCAAGGCAUCAAAAAUCUUUCCUACAACAACAUAGGGAAUAAAACCCUAAGUAGGCAAUUACUCAGCAAGACUUACCCGACUAAGAAAAAGACUCUCAAGGGCAUGCUAGCUUUUGGGGAAUCAAGGGAAAAGCUCAUCAAUUAUCAAUGACUCCUUUUUGCAUAAAAGCUUACUAAUAAUGGAUCCUUAAGCCAAGUUUUAUUUCACAAGUUAGGUUAUUACCUGAAUCUACUAACCUGUCUCUAGAUUCUCCUAAUCUAGAUCAUUCACUUGGCCUACACUAGAUUGCUUUUAACCAAAACUCUGUUAUACUUGUUAUCUACGAUGCAGAGCAGUGAUCCAGUCUUCAUGACCGAGAAGUAACGGCGAUUCGAAUCGAUUAAUACCCAGCUGGGGAUCUCCAGCCACACGACAUAUGUAGCACUUAACCCUUGCAUAUGUCUACCAUUCCCACGGGUCCUCCACUACGUGAACCGGUCCGCGCCACCCGAGAGUACGGUACUCCACCAUCCAGCCACAUGCCAGGUGGGUACACGCCACUCCCGCCGUCUCUCCACUCCCAGUGCGCGAUUGUCUUUUCACAUAUGGAGUAGCCGGGUUCAGGCUUUCCCAUGACGAGGUAUGUGGCCAGUUAAAAGGUCCUAGAUCAACAGGCCUACAAUCGGUACGGUCCUUGAUCGACACAGACGGGCGACCUGUCCAGCUCAACGUCUGGUCUUAUUUUUAAACAAAUUCUCAAAGUUUGAUACCUGGCAGAGGUACCCUGCUUGAAUGAUGAAUUCAUCCCCGCGGAGGAUGCCUCCAUCAUCCCAAGCCCUUUUUCUUUUUAAAAAUCAUGAGUCAUAGAUCAAAAACAUUUUUCUUAAUCUAUAAGCAUAACUAAGCAUUACUAGUUUUUAUAAAACAGGUAACAAGGUAUGAUAAUCAAUCUUUCAAGGAUGGUAAUGCAUCAAGUGUUUAAUCAUUCAACUCCUAUUACCUAAUGCAGCAUAUAAGUGAUAAAAUUUUGUAAUACAAGGAAGGUGGCAAAUGCACCGGGGCUUGCCUUAUUGCAGGAGAAGAUCUAAAACCCUUCUACUCCGAUAAGCAGUUAGAUGGAGUCCAUCACUGGAUCAACAGCACUGGAGCAGGUUCCUCCUUUACAAAGAUCAAUUCUUCUUCUUGGUGUUCUACAUGAAUGUUAUGAAUAUGAAUGCUUGCGUAUGUUAGGAAUAUGUAACUUGCAAAGGAGACAACACAGAUUACUCCUAGACCAAACCUACAAGCUAUAGGUAUCAGGGAGCUAAGCACUCUUAGAACUCAUCUAACUAUCCAAAACUUGCUAACAACUUCCUUCUUUACUAAGACAUCAGGCGCUUUAACUACCGAGGGGUAAAACUCUCUCCCUAUAUUGAGCAAUAGCUAAUUCGCUAAGCAAAUCUUGACCAAACAGCUCUAAAUUUUACCCAAGGGUUCAUGCUCAACAUAAGCUUACACAAAUUUUCAUACAAUUUUUUAGUGCUCUAUUUUUAAACACUCCUAGCACACAAUCUAAAUCCUUUCUUCUCCAAUCAUCACGCAUAAACACUGGAUAAGGACGAUGGCGCAUAAACACUGGAUAUCACCUAAGAACCAAUUCUUUUGGACUUUCUCUUAAAUUUACACAUAUAUACGAACCAUACCUGCUCUAACACGCGACAAGCCGAUGAAGCGAGAGGAACCCGUAAGGCCGCACGGAGAAAACACGCCGAGCACGACGGCUUGUCGGGUGUGAGGAGCGCGAGUGCGACGAGGUCGGAGCAGAGGCUACGGGUUGUCCAAGACGACGACGCGAAGGAGCUGUGGGUCAAGCGCGGCCGGCGAGAAAACGACGAUGAUGUCACGGCGCGCCAAGAGCUCAGCGACGACGAGAGCACCGGUGCUGCUGCGAUGAGGUAGAGGGAUACGACGCUGAAACAGCAGGACGACGACGAGGUGGAGCUCGGACAGCUGGAGAAAGGUGUUGAAGUACGCAGGACCGGACAGGCUGAGAGCGAGCGAUUGGGGAAGAACUACAGAGAAGCUCGCUGGAGCACAGCUUGGAAACGAGCAAGUACAGGGUGGAUGCCGGGGCUAAGAAACAUGGAGAGCGAACGCUGGGGCAGGUGACGGCUGGGGGUUUUCCUGGGGGAGUUAAACGUGGUGAAGCCGUGCAGCAGUUCGAGUUGCAGGUGACGUGAGGAAUUCUCCAACCAGGAACAUCUAUCUCUAUUCAUAUGAGAGAAAAGAAAUAGAAUAUGGUAGCUUCUAGCUGUUGGGAUAAGAAAAAGAGUAGGCGGUGGAGAGUAUUCCAGAGAUAUGGACGUGUGCGAGAAAGAGGAGGAUAGCUGGAGAAUUCCCAACCAACCUUAUCUUCAAAAAAAACAUCUUCAAUUUUGGUUACAGAAUUCUGGUAGAUAUCCAGGAAAUGAGCUAAAACAUCCCCAACAGCUCUCCAACUGAAUUAAGCAAACUAAAUUAAAAUUUCAGCCACCCGAACUGAACUCGCAGCUCAACUGAACCCCCAUCCUCGUUCCAUUUUCAUCACAUGAUCCCAAAUGGUAACAGGUUCCAACAGGGAACCAACCUUAACAUAAACUGCUCUCCAAACUAUCUUUUAUCUCUUUGCUACAAGGACUGCAGCUCCAAACUCCACAGAUCAGACUCAAAAGAUCACACAAAAAAAAUCGGCUAGCUGAAUCAAAACUGAACUCAACACCCGCCAGAGAGAGUUUGAGCAUAGUUUACUCCAAAUUUAGUGCAGCACCAAAUCAAACUAAUUUAAGAAAACAUGUUCGCUAUUAUAUGGUCUUUCACUUUCCUAUAGAAAGCAUAAUCUAUAACUCCAUAGAUCAGCUACAAGAGAGCUCCAAAGUUGAGCGAAACUCACUGAAAUUCAGUUUUAGGUAACUAAACCAAGUCUGAAAUUAAAAUCUGAUAGCAUGUAUUUUGGCACCAUUUCCUCCUAGUUCCAAGCAGCUUUAGGGGCGUGACCCUUACUAAAGAUUACUCCCCCAACAUUGAUCUACAUGUUUGCCAUAGAAAUCAUAGUCUAAAGACACAUAGAUUGAUCACCAAGGAGCGCCAAACUUGGCAUUUUUUUUACUGAAAUUCAGAUUUCAGUACUGACAAAUUCAGCUAGUGCAACUCUGACAAUCCAUUUUUUGGCAGAUUUUACUCUACCCUUUAUGUGAGAUCAAGCCAACUCUCUUAAAGAAAUUUGUUCCCCAUCAUAUGGUCGACAACUCCCCUAUAGAAACCAUAGUUCAAAACCUUAUGGAUUAUGCACAAGGAAGCUCCAAAUUCAGUCACAAUACACUGAAAUUCAGAAGGGAUACUGUUCACAAACCUGAAAAUUUAGAAACCUGCCAGACCCAUUUUAGAUCACCUUUUCUGCCAGUUGCAUAUGGUUUUAGGGGCAUCCCACAUAAUAAAGUUUGUUCUCCUAUAGUCAUACUACGAGUUUGCCAUAGUGACCACAAUCUAUAAAUUUAUGGAUAGGACAGUAGAGAGCUCCAAAUUUGAGCCAAACACACUGAAAUUCAUACUUGGAUAAUAACACUAAGUCUGAAAUCCAAACCUGUCAGUCCUUCUUUGGACCAUUUUUGCUCCUAAUUCCAUAUGGUUUUUGGGUUAAGUAACUUAAACACGUUUGUACACCUAAGGUAGUACUACAACUUUGCUACAGUGACCAGCACAAAAAUGUCUAGAGGCAAAAAGCUAUAACAGCCCAAAGUUAGCUAAUUGAUAUUAUUUUCAGCAAAUCCCAAAUUGCACCAAAACUAAAUUUUUGCAGUUUACUCCAAGUUUUCCUAUAAAACUUGGACAUCUCCACACAUGGAAGUUGUUCAACUUUCUAAGCUUUACCACUUUGGUAUAUGGACUUUUGGCAACUUCUUUCUAGAUUUUGAUUUCCACUUUUUGGGCUAGUUUAGGGUUUCAAUUGAAAUUUUGGACCUAUUAAAAUGCAUUCUAGGUGUAUCAAGCAAGAUGAUGAUAAUGCAUAUGAUGAGAUGCCAAAAUUUUAGUUCUCGUAACACCAGGGGUGUUACAUCCUUCCCCCCUAAAAAGGAAUCUCGUCCCGAGAUUAAAACUCCAGGCUAAGUAAUGGAAAAGGAAACACGUCACGAUCUUAUUCUACCUUUGUUCUUACAAGGCAGGGGUGUGCCCCUGUGGGUUUACAUCAAAGACAAAAUACACAAGGCUUAAUAUUUACAGGAAUCUAAAAACUGAGGAAAAUGCUCCAUAAGAUAGUCUUCUGAUUCCCAGGUAGCCUCAUCUUCGGAGUGUUGGUUCCAUUGUAUUUUGUAAAACUUCAUAAUCUUUCUUCGUGUGACCCGAUCUUUUUGAUCCAGGACCCGAAUAGGAUACUCAAAGUAAGUUAGAUCAGGUUCAAGGUUCACAUCUGAAACCUCAACUACUUGUUCGGGGACUCGAAGACAUUUCUUCAACUGAGAUACGUGAAACACGUUAUGCACUGUUGAAAGAUUCUCUGGCAAUUGCACCUUAUAAGCCACAUGUCCACAACGUUCAAGCACUGGAAAUGGACCAACAUAGCGAGGUGCAAGUUUCCCUUUGACACCAAAUCGAGCCACGCCCUUCAUUGGUGACACUUUUAAAUACACAUGAUCACCGACGUGGAAAACCAAAGAUCGACGUCUCUUAUCGGCAUAACGCUUUUGGCGAUGUUGAGCUAUCUUCAAGUGAUGCUGAAUCAGUUUGACCUUUUCUUCUGCUUCCUUUACCAAAUCUGGCCCAAAGAAACACCUUUCACCUGGUUCGGACCAAUUCAGAGGAGUUCUACACCUUCGACCAUAUAAUGCUUCAAAAGGUGCCAUCUUUAUACUUUCUUGAUAACUAUUAUUAUACGAGAACUCAGCCAAUGGCAAGCAUUCAUCCCACUUAGCAGAGUAAGCGAGAACACAAGCUCUUAACAUAUCUUCUAGGAUCUAAUUCACCCUCUCAGUUUGACCACUGGUUUGCGGAUGAUAAGCUGAACUAUGAAUUAGCUUGGUACCUAAAGAUUUGUGCAACUCUGCCCAAAACUUGGCAACAAAUUGCGGACCCCGAUCUGAUACAAUGGUCUUGGGUAUACCAUGCAAACUCAGAAUACGAGCGAUAUACAACUUAGCAUAUGCAAGUACUGAGUUGCUUUUGUUUACUGGCAGGAAAUGAGCCAACUUGGUGAGACGGUCUACAAUCACCCAGAUAGAGUCAUACCCUUUUGAUGUUUUGGGUAAACCAACAAUGAAGUCCAUGCUGAUAUCUUCCCAUUUCCAGGCUGGAAUGGGCAAAGGUUGUAACGGCCCGGCAUAUUUCAAAUGAACAGCUUUCACACGUUGACAAAUGUCACAUUUAGCCACAUACCGAGCAAUUUCUAUCUUCAUCUUGGUCCACCAAAACCUUUGCUUCAGAUCUUGAUACAUCUUAUUGCUUCCUGGGUGAAUGAAAUACCGAGACAAAUGAGCUUCAUCUAGUAUUUGUUGUCGUAAUUCAGGUACCUUUGGAACUACCAAACGAUUUUGGAACCAAAGAACACCAUCUUCAUCAAUUCUAAAACAUGUAGCUUUUCCUGCUUCAACUCGUUCCUUGAUAUGAGCUAUACCCUUAUUCACCUUUUGAGCAUCAAUAAUUUGGCUUUGGAUAGUUGAUUCAAGAACAAGAUUGGCUACGGUUCCAUGCUGAAUUAUCCCCAAAUUCAGCCUUUCCAUUUCCUGACACAAGGUGAUAGUUAAUGGCUUCACCGAAAGACAAUUACACUGGGACUUCCGGCUGAGAGCAUCUGCCACGACAUUAGCCUCGCCAGGAUGGUAAUGGACUUCUAAAUCAUAGUCCUUGAUCAACUCAAGCCAUCUCCUUUGCCUCAUAUUUAGCUCAGACUGGGUAAAGAUGUAUUUCAGACUUUUAUGAUCAGUAUAUAUGUGACAUGUAUUACCCAGUAGAUAAUGGCGCCAAAUCUUAAGUGCAUGAACAACAGCAGCCAAUUCGAGAUCAUGGGUUGGGUAAUUGAAAGGGAAAUGUGCCCUUGGGCCAUUUCUAAGUAUUUUGGUGAUUGAGUGCCAACACAAGUGCUUAAAUGUGAAUCUAUGCCCAUGGAUGAAUAAAGUGCAAAUCAAGAGCAAAGGUAUGUUUCUAUGUCUUAGUACAUUGGUUUUGUGUACUAAUAUACUUGUCUAAGUAUCAGAAACAGGAAGAAGAAGAGAAGAGAAGAAUUGGCUUUGUACAGCCAAGAGGCUGUUUCGGUCUGGGGCACCGGACUGUCCGGUGCGCCAGGUUGCCUCGAGCGAAGUGGCCGCUCUCGGGAAUUUGCCGACGGCGUACGGCUAAAAUUCACCGGACUGUCCGGUGUGCACCGGACUGUCCGGUGAGCCAACGGUCGGCCGGGCCAACGGUCGGCCGCGGAAUCUGCGCGCGACACGUGGCCGGGCCAACGGUCAGAAGGGGGCACCGGACUGUCCGGUGUGCACCGGACAUGUCCGGUGCGCCAACGGCUCCCAGAUCUGCAACGGUCGACUGCGCUGUUUAAGGAAGGAAAUCGGGCACCGGACAGUGUCCGGUGUGCACCGGACUGUCCGGUGCGCCCGAUGACAGAAGGCAAGAUCAGCCUUCCUGGAUUGCUCUCAACGGCUCCUAGCUGCCUUGGGGCUAUAAAAGGGACCCCUAGGCGCAUGGAGGAGGACACCAAGCAUUCCUACAACAUUCCUAAGCACCAAGACAUCGAUUCCACGCAUUUGGUUCAUUGUGAUAGCAUCUAGAGCUCUUGUUGAGUUGUGAACUCAUUGAGUUGUGUUGCGAGCUCUUGUUGCGACUUGUGUGCGUGCUGUUGCUCUGAUUUUGAGUCUUGUGUGCGUUGCUAGUUUCUCCCUUACUCCGUAUUUCUUUGUGAAUCUUAAGUGUAAGGGCGAGAGGCUCCAAGUUGUGGAGAUUCCUCGCAAACGGGAUAUUGAAAGGCAAAGCAAAACACCGUGGUAUUCAAGUUGGUCGUUGGACCACUUGAGAGGGGUUGAUUGCAACCCUCGUCCGUUGGGACGCCACAACGUGGAGUAGGCAAGCUUUGGUCUUGGCCGAACCACGGGAUAAACCACUGUGUCAUCUCUGUGUUUGAUCUCUUGUGGUAUUGUGUUUUGUUGAGACUCCUCUCUAGCCACUUGGCAAUUAUUGUGCUAACACUUAACAAGUUUUUGUGGCUACAAGUUUAAGUUUUCACAGGAUCACCUAUUCACCCCCCCUCUAGGUGCUCUCAAUUGGUAUCAGAGCCGUUCUCUUCAAGAAAGGGACUAACCGCCCGAAGAGAUGGAUCCUAAAGGCAAGGGGAUGGUGAUCAACGACAAGGAGAAGGAGUCCUUCGUCAACGAGCCAAGGGAUGACAAGUCCAACGACUCGGGCUCGGGCCACAGACGCAAAGAUGGGAAGAAGAAAAAGACAAGACGCAUCAAGGAGAUCGUCUACUACGACAGCGAUGAGUCUACUUCCUCCCAAAAGGACGACGACCACAACGAAUACGAGAGAAAGAAACCGGUCAAUUCGAACUUUUCUUUUGAUUACUCUCGUAUUCCUCAAAGUACUAAUGCUCAUUUAUUAUCUAUUCCACUUGGUAAACCUCCUCAUUUUGAUGGAGAGGACUACGGAUUUUGGAGUCACAAAAUGCGUAGUCACUUGUUCUCUCUCCAUCCUAGCAUAUGGGAGAUUGUAGAAAGUGGAAUGCACUUUGAUAGUACGGAUAGUCCCAUGUUUAUUAAUGAACAAAUUCAUAAAAAUGCACAAGCUACUACUGUGUUGCUAGCCUCUUUGUGCAGGGACGAGUACCAUAAGGUGAGCGGCUUGGACAAUGCCAAGCAGAUCUGGGACACCCUCAAGAUCUCUCAUGAGGGGAACGAUGUCACCUUACUCACCAAGAUGGAGUUGGUGGAGGGCGAGCUUGGACGGUUCGCAAUGAUAAGGGGCGAGGAGCCAACUCAAACAUACAACCGGCUCAAGACCCUUAUCAACAAAAUAAGGAGCUACGGAAGCACGUGAUGGACGGAUCACGACGUCGUCCGCCUAAUGCUAAGGUCCUUUACUGUUCUUGAUCCUCAUUUGGUGAACAAUAUUCGUGAAAAUCCUAGGUACACCAAGAUGUCGCCCGAAGAAGUACUUGGGAAAUUCGUUAGCGGGCGAAUGAUGAUCAAGGAGGCAAGAUACGUGGACGACGCCUUGAAUGGUCCGAUCAACGAGCCGCAACCCCUUGCUCUCAAGGCAACGAGGAGCAAGGAGGCGCUACCGAGCAAGGUGGCGCAAGUUGAGGCGGCCGGGCUCAAUAAUGAGGAGAUGGCCCUCAUCAUUAAGCGCUUCGAGACGGCGCUUAAAGGUCGCAAGGGACAGCCAAGCAAGACCAAGACAAAGGAGAAGCGCUCGUGCUUGAAAUGUGGUAAGAUUGGUCAUUUCAUUGCUAACUGUCCCGAUAAUGAAAGUGACCAGGAAAAGGGGAACAAAAGGGAGAAGAAGAAGCAUUACAAGAAGGCCAAGGGCGAGGCACAUAUAGGAAAGGAGUGGGAUUCGGAUUGCUCCUCCUCCGACUCCGACAAUGAAGGACUCGCCGCCACCGCCUUCAACAAGUCAUCUCUCUUCCCCAACGAGCGUCACACUUGCCUCAUGGCAAGGGAGAAGAAAGUAAGCACUCAUGAUACUAGUACUUAUGCUUCUUCAAGUGAGGAUGAGUCUAGUGAUGAUGAUGAGAUAGAUUACUCAUGCUUAUUCAAGGGAUUAGAUAGAUCUAAAAUUAAUAAGAUUAAUGAGUUGAUUGAUGCUUUGAAUGAUAAGAAUAGAUUACUAGAAAAACAAGAGGAUCUUUUAUAUGAGGAGCAUGAUAAAUUUGUUAGUGCACAAAAUUCUCUUGUUCUAGAAAUUAAAAGAAAUGAGAUGCUUUCUAGUGAAUUAUCUUCUUGUCAUGAAACCAUUGCUACUUUAAAAGGUGUUAAUAAUGAUUUAAAUGCUAAACUAGAAGUGGCUAGUAAAUCUAACUCUUGUGUAGAACAUGUUAUGGUUUGCACUAGGUGUAAAGACUUUAAUGUUGAUGCUUGUAGUGAACACCUAGUUUCAAUUUCUAAAUUGAAUGAUGAAGUGGCUAGUCUUAAUGCCCAACUUAAGACUAGCAAAAGCGAAUUUGAUAAAUUAAAAUUUGCAAGGGAUGCCUAUACGAUUGGUAGACAUCCCUCAAUUAAGGAUGGACUUGGCUACAAAAGGGAAGCCAAGAACUUGACAAGCCAUAAGGCUCCCAUCUCCGCCAAGGAGAAAGGGAAGGCCCCUAUGGCUAGUAGUGUGCAAAAGAACCAUGCCUUUAUGUACUAUGAUAGAAGACAACCUAGAAAUGCUUAUAGGAGUUGUAAUGCAUAUAAUGUCUUUGAUUCUCAUGCCAUGUUUGCUUCUAGCUCUUCUUAUGUGCAUGAUAGAAAUGUUGGUAGGAGAAAUGUUGUUCAUAUCAUGCCUAGGAGAAAUGUUGUUAAUGUUCCUAGGAAAGUAAAUGAACCUUCUACAAUAUAUCAUGCUUUGAAUGCUUCUUUUGCAAUUUGUAGAAAGGAUAGAAAGGUGAUUGCUAGGAAAUUAGGGGCAAAAUGCAAGGGUGAUAAAACUUGCAUUUGGAUCCCUAAGGAAAUUGUGACUAACCUUGUAGGACCCAACAAGAGUUGGGUACCUAAGUCCCAAGCCUAAAUUUGCAUUGCAGGUUUAUGCAUCCGGGGGUUCAAGCUGGAUCAUCGACAGCGGAUGCACAAACCAUAUGACGGGGGAAAAGAAGAUGUUCACCUCCUACGUCAAGAAUAAGGAUUCCCAAGAUUCAAUUAUAUUCGGUGACGGGAAUCAAGGCAAGGUAAAAGGGCUAGGUAAAAUUGCAAUCUCAAAUGAGCAUUCUAUCUCUAAUGUGUUUCUAGUGGAGAGUCUUGGAUAUAACUUGCUAUCUGUCAUAUGGGAUAUAACUGUCUAUUUACAAAUAUAGAUGUGUCUGUCUUUAGAAGAUGUGAUGGUUCACUAGCUUUUAAGGGUGUAUUAGACGACAAACUUUACCUAGUUGAUUUUGCAAAAGAAGAGGCCGGUCUAGAUGCAUGCUUAAUGGCUAAGACUUGCAUGGGCUGGCUGUGGCAUCGCCGCUUAGCACAUGUGGGGAUGAAGAACCUCCACAAGCUUCUAAAGGGAGAACAUGUGAUAGGUCUAACCAAUGUUCAUUUCGAAAAAGAUAGACCUUGUGCAGCUUGUCAAGCAGGGAAACAGGUGGGAGGAGCGCAUCACAGCAAGAAUGUGAUGACCACUUCAAGACCCCUGGAGCUGCUGCAUAUGGACCUCUUCGGACCCGUCGCCUAUCUGAGCAUAGGGGGAAGUAAGUAUGGUCUAGUUAUUGUCGAUGACUUUUCCCGCUUCACUUGGGUGUUCUUUUUGCAGGAUAAGUCUGAAACCCAAGGGACCCUCAAGCGCUUUCUCAGGAGAGCUCAAAAUGAGUUUGAGCUCAAGGUGAAGAAGAUAAGGAGCGACAACGGGUCCGAGUUCAAGAAUCUUCAAGUGGAGGAGUUCCUUGAGGAGGAAGGGAUCAAGCAUGAGUUCUCCGCUCCCUACACACCUCAGCAAAAUGGUGUGGUAGAGAGGAAGAACAGGACGCUCAUAGAUAUGGCGAGGACUAUGCUUGGAGAAUUCAAGACCCCCGAGUGUUUUUGGUCGGAAGCCGUGAACACGGCUUGCCAUGCCAUCAACAGGGUCUACCUUCAUCGCCUCCUCAAGAAGACUUCGUAUGAGCUACUAACCGGUAACAACCCCAAUGUAUCUUACUUUCGUGUAUUUGGGAGCAAGUGCUACAUUCUAGUGAAGAAGGGUAGAAAUUCUAAAUUUGCUCCCAAAGCUGUAGAAGGGUUUUUGUUAGGUUAUGACUCAAAUACAAAGGCGUAUAGAGUCUUCAACAAAUCAUCGGGUUUGGUUGAAGUCUCUAGCGACGUUGUAUUUGAUGAGACUAAUGGCUCUCCAAGAGAGCAAGUUGUUGAUUGUGAUGAUGUAGAUGAAGAAGAUGUUCCGACGGCCGCUAUACGAACCAUGGCGAUUGGAGAAGUGCGACCACAGGAACAAGAUGAACGAGAUCAACCUUCUUCCUCAACAACGGUGCAUCCCCCACCUCAAGAUGAUGAACAGGUUCAUCAAAAGGAGGCUUGUGAUCAAGGGGGAGCACAAGAUGUUCACGUGAUGGAGGAAGAAGCGCAACCGGCACCUCCAACCCAAGUUCGAGCGAUGAUUCAAAGGGAUCAUCCCGUCGACCAAAUUCUGGGUGACAUUAGCAAGGGAGUAACUACUCGAUCUCGAUUAGUUAAUUUUUGUGAGCAUUACUCCUUUGUCUCUUCUAUUGAGCCUUUCAGGGUAGAGGAGGCCUUGCUAGAUCCGGAUUGGGUAUUGGCCAUGCAGGAGGAACUCAACAACUUCAAGCGCAAUGAAGUUUGGACACUGGUGCCUCGUCCCAAGCAAAAUGUUGUGGGAACCAAGUGGGUGUUUCGCAACAAACAGGACGAGCACGGGGUGGUGACGAGGAACAAGGCUCGACUUGUGGCAAAAGGUUAUGCCCAAGUCGCAGGUUUGGACUUUGAGGAGACAUUUGCUCCUGUGGCUAGGCUAGAAUCAAUUCGCAUCUUGCUAGCAUAUGCCGCUCACCAUUCUUUCAGGUUGUUCCAAAUGGAUGUGAAGAGCGCUUUCCUCAACGGGCCAAUCAAGGAGGAGGUGUACGUGGAGCAACCCCCUGGCUUCGAGGAUGAACGGUACCCCGACCACGUAUGUAAGCUCUCUAAGGCGCUCUAUGGACUUAAGCAAGCCCCAAGAGCAUGGUAUGAAUGCCUUAGAGACUUUUUACUUGCUAAUGCUUUCAAGGUUGGGAAAGCCGAUCCAACUCUGUUCACUAAGACAUGUGAUGGUGAUUUGUUUGUGUGCCAAAUUUAUGUCGAUGACAUAAUAUUUGGUUAUACUAACCAAAAGUCUUGUGAAGAGUUUAGCAGGGUGAUGACGCAGAAAUUCGAGAUGUCGAUGAUGGGCGAGUUGAACUACUUCCUUGGGUUUCAAGUGAAGCAACUCAAGGACGGCACCUUCAUCUCACAAACGAAGUACACGCAAGAUCUGCUAAAGCGGUUUGGGAUGAAGGACGCCAAGCCCGCAAAAACUCCGAUGGGGACCGACGGACACACUGACCUCAACAAAGGAGGUAAUUCCGUUGAUCAAAAAGCAUACCGGUCAAUGAUAGGGUCUUUACUUUAUUUAUGUGCUAGUAGACCGGAUAUUAUGCUUAGCGUAUGCAUGUGUGCUAGAUUUCAAUCCGAUCCUAAGGAGUGCCACUUAGUGGCGGUGAAGCGAAUUCUUAGAUAUUUGGUUGCUACGCCUUGCUUCGGGCUCUGAUAUCCAAAGGGGUCUACCUUUGACUUAGUUGGAUACUCAGACUCCGACUAUGCUGGAUGUAAGGUCGAUAGGAAGAGUACAUCGGGGACGUGCCAAUUCUUAGGAAGGUCCCUGGUGUCAUGGAACUCUAAGAAACAAACCUCCGUUGCCCUAUCCACCGCUGAGGCCGAGUACGUUGCCGCAGGACAGUGUUGCGCGCAACUACUUUGGAUGAGGCAAACCCUCCGGGACUUUGGCUACAAUCUGAGCAAAGUCCCACUUCUAUGUGAUAAUGAGAGUGCUAUCCGCAUGGCGGAGAAUCCUGUUGAGCACAGCCGCACAAAGCACAUAGACAUCCGGCAUCACUUUUUGAGAGACCACCAGCAAAAGGGAGAUAUCGAAGUGUUUCAUGUUAGCACCGAGAACCAGCUAGCCGAUAUCUUUACCAAGCCUCUAGAUGAGAAGACCUUUUGCAGGUUGCGUAGUGAGCUAAAUGUCUUAGAUUCGUGGAACUUGGAUUGAAUUGUAGCAUACAUGUGUUUAUGCCUUAUGAUCAUGUUCCUUUCUGCAUUUUGUUGCUAAUUGUGGUGCUCAAGUUGUACAAACACUCCCUGGACCUCACAAGUCCGUUGCAAAGUGAUGCACAUGUUUAGGGGGAGAUGUGUUACAACUUGACCCUUUGAGACUAACCUUGUGUUCGAGUUUGAUAAGUCAGUCUCGAAGGAGGAUUGAAAGGGAAAAGGUGGACUUGGACCGUGAAAGACUUCCACUGCACUCCGAUGAGAGGGUAACUUAUUCCAAGUUCAUCUUUAAACUCUUAUUGCCUAUUUGCUCUUAAUUGAAGAUUUUGGUGAGCCAAUGGGGUUAAAGGGCCAAGAUUGAUCCCGUUUUGGUGCUUGAUGCCAAAGGGGGAGAAAAUAAAGGCCAAAGCGAUAAAUGGAUCAGCUACCACUUGAGAGAUUUUGAAAAUAGCAGAAUAGAGCUUUUUGUUUUGACAAAACUCUUUUAUUGUCUCUCUUGUCAAAAAUUGGCUUCUUGUGGGGAGAAGUGUUGAUUAUGGGAAAAGGGGGAGUUUUUGGAAUCUUGAAUCAAUUUUCUAUGGAAAACCUCUCUUUAUGUCUCUACAAGUGGAUUUGACUUAGAGAUAGGAUUGUGAGUUUGAUUUGCAAAAACAAACCAAGUGGUGGCAAAGGAUGAUCCAUAUAUGCCAAAUUGAAUCAAAAUAAAUUUGAGUUUUUAUUUGAGGUGAUAUUGCACUUGUUCUAGUUGCUUUAUGUUGUGUUGGCAUAAAUCACCAAAAAGGGGGAGAUUGAAAGGGAAAUGUGCCCUUGGGCCAUUUCUAAGUAUUUUGGUGAUUGAGUGCCAACACAAGUGCUUAAAUGUGAAUCCAUGCCCAUGGAUGAACAAAGUGCAAAUCAAGAGCAAAGGUAUGUUUCUAUGUCUUAGUACAUUGGUUUUGUGUACUAAUAUACUUGUCUAAGUAUCAGAAACAGGAAGAAGAAGAGAAGAGAAGAAUUGGCUUUGUACAGCCAAGAGGCUGUUUCGGUCUGGGGCACCGGACUGUCCGGUGGUGCACCGGACAGUGUCCGGUGCGCCAGGUUGCCUCGAGCGAAGUGGCCGCUCUCGGGAAUUUGCCGACGGCGUACGGCUAAAAUUCACCGGGCUGUCCGGUGUGCACCGGACUGUCCGGUGAGCCAACGGUCGGCCGGGCCAACGGUCGGCCGCGGAAUCUGCGCGCGACACGUGGCCGGGCCAACGGUCAGAAGGGGGCACCGGACUGUCCGGUGUGCACCGGACAUGUCCGGUGCGCCAACGGCUCCCAGAUCUGCAACGGUCGACUGCGCUGUUUAAGGAAGGAAAUCGGGCACCGGACUGUGUCCGGUGUGCACCGGACUGUCCGGUGCGCCCGAUGACAGAAGGCAAGAUCAGCCUUCCUGGAUUGCUCUCAACGGCUCCUAGCUGCCUUGGGGCUAUAAAAGGGACCCCUAGGCGCAUGGAGGAGGACACCAAGCAUUCCUACAACAUUCCUAAGCACCAAGACAUCGAUUCCACGCAUUUGGUUCAUUGUGAUAGCAUCUAGAGCUCUUGUUGAGUUGUGAACUCAUUGAGUUGUGUUGCGAGCUCUUGUUGCGACUUGUGUGCGUGCUGUUGCUCUGAUUUUGAGUCUUGUGUGCGUUGCUAGUUUCUCCCUUACUCCGUAUUUCUUUGUGAAUCUUAAGUGUAAGGGCGAGAGGCUCCAAGUUGUGGAGAUUCCUCGCAAACGGGAUAUUGAAAGGCAAAGCAAAACACCGUGGUAUUCAAGUUGGUCGUUGGACCACUUGAGAGGGGUUGAUUGCAACCCUCGUCCGUUGGGACGCCACAACGUGGAGUAGGCAAGCUUUGGUCUUGGCCGAACCACGGGAUAAACCACUGUGUCAUCUCUGUGUUUGAUCUCUUGUGGUAUUGUGUUUUGUUGAGACUCCUCUCUAGCCACUUGGCAAUUAUUGUGCUAACACUUAACAAGUUUUUGUGGCUAUAAGUUUAAGUUUUCACAGGAUCACCUAUUCACCCCCCCCUCUAGGUGCUCUCAGUAAUGCUCUUCAUGACGCUUGAGUUGUCAUGAUGCAUAAGAAAUCACACGGCCUUCUUGCAUAAGUACACACCCUAUGCCAAUGCCCGAAGCAUCACAAUAAACAUCAAAGGAUUUCUCAAUAUCAGGCUGCGCCAAUACUGGUGCGGUAGUCAACAACUUUUUUAGUUCUUCAAAAGCUUUGUUGCACUCAGAUGACCACACAAAUUUGAUAUGAUUCUUGAGCAACUCAGUAAUAGGCUUAGCUAUCUUGGAGAAAUCUGGAAUAAAACGACGGUAAUACCCCGCCAUUCCAAGGAAACUUCGGACUUGAUGCACUGUGGUGGGUGGCUUCCAUUCCAGAAUGUCCUUGACUUUACUUGGGUCGACUGCAACACCUUCGGCAGACAAGAUAUGACCCAAGAACGGAAUGGUAUCCAACCAAAAUUCACACUUGCUGAAUUUGGCAUAAAGUUGGUGUUCUCGUAAUCUUGUUAGAACGAUACGCAAGUGCUCUGCAUGAUCUUCUUUGGUCUUCGAGUAUAUCAAGAUGUCAUCAAUAAAGACCACCACAAACUUGUCAAGCUCGGGCAUGAACACCGAGUUCAUUAAGUACAUGAAAUGAGCUGGAGCAUUGGUUAGACCAAAGGACAUAACCAAAUAUUCAUAGAGACCAUAUCGGGUAGUGAAAGCAGUCUUGGGAACAUCUUCAGGACGAAUUCUUAUCUGGUGAUAACCCGAUCUAAGGUCAAUCUUAGAAAACACUUUAGCUCCAGAAAGUUGAUCAAACAACAAAUCAAUACGAGGGAGAGGAUAUUUGUUUUUAAUGGUCACCUCGUUAAGUGGCCGGUAAUCAACACAUAACCGGAGUGUUUGAUCCUUCUUUUUCACAAAGAUGGCAGGACAGCCCCAAGGUGAUGAACUUGGGCGAAUGAACCCUUUGUUGAGCAAGUCCUGCAAUUGAGUCUUCAGUUCUGCUAACUCCUUGGGUGCCAUUCUGUAUGACCUUCUAGAUAUGGGUGUAGUACCCGGCUGCAAUUCAAUCACAAAUUCCACGUCCCUUUCUGGAGGCAAACCAGGCAAAUCUUCAGGAAACACAUCUGGAAAUUCCUUGACAACAGGUAUAUCCUUUACUUCUUUAACGGUGAUAGCACACACUCUCUCCACUGCUCUCUUAGGUGUCGAUAAUCAGAUCAGCAACUUGUAGUUACCGUUAGGCGAAUCCAAUUGUAUUGUCCGUUGUAGAGCGUUGAUUACCGCCCCAUGUUGACUAAGCCAAUUCAUGCCAAGGAUAACAUCUAUAUCUUGAUUUGGAAGAACUAGCAUGUUGGUAGGAAACAUGUGACCACCUAGCUUUAUGGGUAUCUGAUAUACCAUUUCUUUAGUAUGCAAGCGUCCUCCAGGAGAUUGUAUACAAUACCCAUUCUCUACUACCUCCAAAGACAAUUGGUGCUUUAAUACAAACAUCCGAUUUAUGAAGGUAUGGGAAGCACCGGAAUCAAACAGGAUACCAGCUAAACGAUUGGCGACCGGAAAAGUACCCAUCAUAACCGGUUCACCCUCAGGAAUAGCUUUGAUCUUAGUAUAAUGAACUUGACCCAGUUUAAGAACAACCUUAUUCUUCCUCGCUUUUUGCUGGUUACCUCGAGGGAGAUUCACGAGCGACAACCGCUCAUUCACUAGCUUAGGAAAGUGACAAUCUUGUGUAGAGUGCCCUGACUUACCACAAUUCUCACAUGAAUUAACAUUGUCUGAAAUAUCUUUAGAACGAAUGUCUGGGGCAUCCGGCUCAUGUGGAAUGAAAGGAAUGACAACUUGUUUUUCACAUGACUGAGGAGAGCUAGACAGCUGGGGUGGAGAAGAACGAGGAUAAUAAACAGAUUGAUAAACAACCCUCCGGCACUGUUUGAUUUUACCAGAGGAUUCUUCCACAAUUUUCUUUCUUUUAGACUCCUGAUGAAGUCGAAUCUUGUUAUCCCCCAAAACAGCCUGACUGACCACCUCAUUAUAUCUUUCAGCCAAACUGGUUGCCAUCAAGCCCUGAAGCUUCUUGUUGAGGCCACGUAGGAAGUAGAACCUUUUCUUCUCAUUGGUAUUUACAAAAUCCAAGACGUACUGAGAUAGGCGAGUGAACCUCUCAAAAUAUUCCAUUACACUCUCUUCUUCGCCUUGCUUCAAAUCUAAGAACUCAUUGAAUUUGAUCUCCAUCAGGGCUUUCGGAAUAUAAUGCGUCCGAAAUACCUCACGGAACUCAGCCCAAGAAAUUUGAUGUCCCUCUGGCUGCAGUGCAAAGUAUUCAGCCCACCAGGCCCCAGCUUGACCCUGGAGUUGUUGUGCUGCACACUGAGUUUUCUGAACGUCAUCACAACAGAUGAGUCCCAACUUCUGCUCAAUGGUACGAAGCCAAUCUUCUGCCUCCAAUGGAUCUUCCGCUAUAGUGAACAUUGGUGGUUGCGUGCUGAGAAACUCUUUAUAGAGAAUAGCAGCAUUAGAAUCAUGACGACCAUACUGAGUUGAUGUUGUAGGCUGGGCUAUUUGCUGAAGAACAGUGCUCACAUUCACAAGCUGAGCCACAACAUCAUCCAAAGCUGAUGUCGGAGAUGGAUUGGGGGCAUCGAUAUUCCUCUGGGAAGCACCAGCACCAUGAUCCUUUCCAGAACGAGUCCUCAUUCUGGCAACAAAAUGAAACUUAGCUUCCAGUCUUCCCGAAUAGGAAAGGUAGCAUGGAAAAGUAAAGGCAGGUAGCAUGGACAGGGUGGAUGAAACACGCACUAAACGUAUACACAGGGGGUUUAACUUAAAGUUGUAUGUCAUGAUGCAUGCUCGACCUAUUCGUCCUCACACAUCUUGCCAAAGUAUAGUGGCUAUCACGUUCUAUGGCGGUGGCAUACCUACUCACUCCGUCAUUGAUCACUAGUCGCACUUUCCUAGUGUUUAGUUAGUGUACCUGCAAAAAAAUUCUCCCAAGUUGUGGGUUAGUGGUUAGCAUCUUAAUCUAAGCCACCUUAUAGUCCUUAGUCAUAAACACCAACUAUUUGCACUGCUACUAUCAGGAUUUGCUCAUCCAUUAUUAAGUCUUCCAAAAUAAUUUGGACUCAAAAUCAUUUUGAAGUUUGUCAAAGGAUUACUUUAAUAUCCAUGCUAAUGGGGGAUCGCUCCGAUACCACGCUGUGACAGCCCUCCCAAAUUACCAGGCCCACAUGCACCAAUCCUUGCCUUAAUGGCCUCAGAUUGCUAUGCACGUGUACCGGGUAAUUUAACAAGGCUAUCGAGUUCAUCAACUUGAACUCAUCAUCCCAAGGAUCUCCCACAUAACAGGCAUAUUACAGUAAUCACAAUUGAUACACACAUUGGAGAUAGAGAGGAAGACUUUUACAAAAUACACUUUACAUUCUAGAACUCAAGUCUUACAACAUAAAAGGGAAUGAAAUUAUUACAAGUCCUGAUAGUCUUUAGAGUGCAUAACUUAACUACAAUACUUGGAAAGGUGAAGCCUUUCCAUAAAAGAUUCACAUAAGUAAUCUAAGCUUCAAGACCUCCAUAAGGAGCAACUAAUAAAGCCAAGGCAUCAAAAAUCUUUCCUGCAACAACAUAGGGAAUAAAACCCUGAGUAGGCAAUUACUCAGCAAGACUUACCCGACUAAGAAAAAGACUCUCAAGGGCAUGCUAGCUUUUGGGGAAUCAAGGGAAAAGCUCAUCAAUUAUCAAUGACUCCUUUUUGCAUAAAAGCUUACUAAUAAUGGAUCCUUAAGCCAAGUUUUAUUUCACAAGUUAGGUUAUUACCUUAAUCUACUAACCUGUCUCUAGAUUCUCCUAAUCUAGAUCAUUCACUUGGCCUACACUAGAUUGCUUUUAACCAAAACUCUGUUAUACUUGUUAUCUACGAUGCAGAGCAGUGAUCCAGUCUUCAUGACCGAGAAGUAACGGCGAUUCGAAUCGAUUAAUACCCAGCUGGGGAUCUCCAGCCACACGACAUAUGUAGCACUUAACCCUUGCAUAUGUCUACCAUUCCCACGGGUCCUCCACUACGUGAACCGGUCCGCGCCACCCGAGAGUACGGUACUCCACCAUCCAGCCACAUGCCAGGUGGGUACACGCCACUCCCGCCAUCUCUCCACUCCCAGUGCGCGAUUGUCUUUUCACAUAUGGAGUAGCCGGGUUCAGGCUUUCCCAUGACGAGGUAUGUGGCCAGUUAAAAGGUCCUAGAUCAACAGGCCUACAAUCGGUACGGUCCUUGAUCGACACAGACGGGCGACCUGUCCAGCUCAACGUCUGGUCUUAUUUUAAACAAAUUCUCAAAGUUUGAUACCUGGCAGAGGUACCCUGCUUGAAUGAUGAAUUCAUCCCCGCGGAGGAUGCCUCCAUCAUCCCAAGCCCUUUUUCUUUUUAAAAAUCAUGAGUCAUAGAUCAAAAACAUUUUUCUUAAUCUAUAAGCAUAACUAAGCAUUACUAGUUUUUAUAAAACAGGUAACAAGGUAUGAUAAUCAAUCUUUCAAGGAUGGUAAUGCAUCAAGUGUUUAAUCAUUCAACUCCUAUUACCUAAUGCAGCAUAUAAGUGAUAAAAUUUUGUAAUACAAGGAAGGUGGCAAAUGCACCGGGGCUUGCCUUAUUGCAGGAGAAGAUCUAAAACCCUUCUACUCUGAUAAGCAGUUAGAUGGAGUCCAUCACUGGAUCAACAGCACUGGAGCAGGUUCCUCCUUUACAAAGAUCAAUUCUUCUUGGUGUU
rnacentral:lncRNA from 1 species